GACGAGGGAUCCUAGCGUUGUUCGGAAUUACUGGGCGUAAAGGGCUCGUAGGCGGCCAACUAAGUCAGACGUGAAAUCCCUCGGCUUAACCGGGGAACUGCGUCUGAUACUGGAUGGCUAGAGGUUGGGAGAGGGAUGCGGAAUUCCAGGUGUAGCGGUGAAAUGCGUAGAUAUCUGGAGGAACACCGGUGGCGAAGGCGGCAUCCUGGACCAAUUCUGACGCUGAGGAGCGAAAGCCAGGGGAGCAAACGGG
rnacentral:rRNA from 1 species